AACGAACGCUGGCGGCAUGCCUAACACAUGCAAGUCGAACGAGACCUUCGGGUCUAGUGGCGCACGGGUGCGUAACGCGUGGGAACCUGCCCUUAGGUUCGGAAUAACUCCCCGAAAGGGGUGCUAAUACCGGAUAAUGUCUUCGGACCAAAGAUUUAUCGCCUUUGGAUGGGCCCGCGUUGGAUUAGCUAGUUGGUAGGGUAAAAGCCUACCAAGGCGACGAUCCAUAGCUGGUCUGAGAGGAUGAUCAGCCACACUGGGACUGAGACACGGCCCAGACUCCUACGGGAGGCAGCAGUGGGGGAUAUUGCACAAUGGGCGAAAGCCUGAUCCAGCAAUGCCGCGUGAGUGAUGAAGGUUUUAGGGUUGUAAAGCCCUUUUAUCCGGGAUGAUAAUGACAGUACCUAGAGAAUAAGCGCCGGCUAACUACGUG
rnacentral:rRNA from 1 species